rnacentral:rRNA from 1 species
UACAGAGGUCUCAAGCGUUGUUCGGAUUCAUUGGGCGUAAAGGGUGCGUAGGUGGCGAGGUUAGUCAGGUGUGAAAUCUCGGGGCUCAACCCCGAAACUGCACUUGAUACUGCCUUGCUAGAGUACUGGAGAGGAGAUUGGAAUUUACGGUGUAGCAGUGAAAUGCGUAGAUAUCGUAAGGAAGACCAGUGGCGAAGGCGAAUCCCUGGACAGUUACUGACACUGAGGCACGAAGGCCAGGGGAGCAAACGGG